rnacentral:rRNA from 1 species
UUUAGUGUCCAAGCUAGAUUUGAAACACUUCAAUCCUUUUCGAAUUUGAAAGUUCAACAAUCUAGGGGUUUGUAUACUAUAAGGGUCGCUUUAUGGAAAAAAAACCUGAUGCUAGAAA